GGAAAUCAAGUCGAGAGUGAAAUCCAACGGCUCAACCGUUGAACUGCUCUCGAAACUGGUUACCUAGAAUAUGGGAGAGGUAGAUGGAAUUGGUGGUGUAGGGGUAAAAUCCGUAGAUAUCACCAGGAAUACCGAUUGCGAAGGCGAUCUACUGGAACAUUAUUGACGCUGAGGCAUGAAAGCGUGGGGAGCAAACAGGAUUAGAUACCCUGGUAGUCCACGCCCUAAACGAUGCACACUAGUUGUUGCGAUGCUAGUCAUUGCAGUAAUGCACUUAACAGAUUAAGUGUGCCGCCUGGGGAGUACGGUCGCAAGAUUAAAACUCAAAGGAAUAGACGGGGACCCGCACAAGCGGUGGAGCAUGUGGUUUAAUUCGAAGAUACACGAAGAACCUUACCUGGGCUUGAUAUCCUAAGAAUCCUGUAGAGAUAUGGGAGUGCUAGUUUACUAGAACUUAGAGACAGGUGCUGCACGGCUGUCGUCAGCUCGUGUCGUGAGAUGUUGGGUUAAGUCCCGCAACGAGCGCAACCCUCGUGAUUAGUUGCUAACAGUUCGGCUGAGCACUCUAAUCAGACUGCCUUCGCAAGGAGGAGGAAGGUGAGGACGACGUCAAGUCAUCAUGGCCCUUAUGCCCAGGGCUACACACGUGCUACAAUGGCUAGGACAAAGAGAAGCGAUACUGCGAAGUGGAGCAAAUCUUAAAACCUAGUCUCAGUUCGGAUUGGAGUCUGCAACUCGACUCCAUGAAGCUGGA
rnacentral:rRNA from 1 species